GAUGAACGCUGGCGGCGUGCCUAAUACAUGCAAGUCGAGCGAACAGACGAGGAUCUUGCUCCUCUUACGUGAGCGGCGGACGGGGGAGGAACACGUGGAUAACCUACCUAUAAGACUGGGAUAACGUCGGGAAACCGGAGCUAAUACCGGAUAAUAUAUUGAACCGCAGGGUUCAAUAGGGGAAGACGGAUUUGCUGUCACUUAUAGAGGGAUCUGGGCCGCAUUAGCUAGUUGGUAAGGGAGCGGUUUACCAAGGCCACGAUGCGUAGCCGACCUGAGGCGGUGAUCGGCGACACUGGCACUGGGACACGGUCCAGACUCCUACGGGAGGCAGCAGUAGGGAUUCUUCCGCAAUGGGCGAAAGCUUGACGGAGAAACGCCGAGUGAGUGAUGAAGGUCUUCGGAUCGUAGAACUCUGUUAUUAGGGAAGAACAAAUGUGUAAGUAACUAUGCACGUCUUGACGGUACCUAAACAGAAAGCCACGGCUAACUACGUG
rnacentral:rRNA from 1 species